rnacentral:rRNA from 1 species
AUUGAACGCUAGCGGGAUGCUUUACACAUGCAAGUCGAACGAGUGGCGGACGGGUGAGUAAGAUAUCGGAACGUGCCCAGUCGCGGGGGAUAACUACUCGAAAGCGUGGCUAAUACCGCAUACUGUUCGUUCGGCCGAUGUCGGAUUAGCUAGUUGGUGGGGUAAAGGCUCACAAAGGCCACGAUCCGUAGCUGGUCUGAGAGGACGACCAGCCACACUGGGACUGAGACACGGCCCAGACUCCUACGGGAGGCAGCAGUGGGGAAUUUUGGACAAUGGGGGAAACCCUGAUCCAGCCAUCCCGCGUGUAUGAGAAGGUCUUCGGGUUGUAAAGUACUGUUGGCAGAGAAGCGGUAUCUGCAGAAUAAGCACCGGCUAACUACGUGCCAGCAGCCGCGGUAAUAC